UUAAAGAGAGUUUGAUCCUGGCUCAGGACGAACGCUGGCGGCGUGCCUAAUACAUGCAAGUCGAACGAACGGAGGAAGAGCUUGCUCUUCCAAAGUUAGUGGCGGACGGGUGAGUAACACGUGGGCAACCUGCCUGUAAGUUGGGGAUAACUCCGGGAAACCGGGGCUAAUACCGAAUGAUAAAGUGUGGCGCAUGCCACGCUUUUGAAAGAUGGUUUCGGCUAUCGCUUACAGAUGGGCCCGCGGUGCAUUAGCUAGUUGGUAGGGUAAUGGCCUACCAAGGCAACGAUGCAUAGCCGACCUGAGAGGGUGAUCGGCCACACUGGGACUGAGACACGGCCCAGACUCCUACGGGAGGCAGCAGUAGGGAAUCUUCCGCAAUGGACGAAAGUCUGACGGAGCAACGCCGCGUGUAUGAAGAAGGUUUUCGGAUCGUAAAGUACUGUUGUUAGAGAAGAACAAGGAUAAGAGUAACUGCUUGUCCCUUGACGGUAUCUAACCAGAAAGCCACGGCUAACUACGUGCCAGCAGCCGCGGUAAUACGUAGGUGGCAAGCGUUGUCCGGAUUUAUUGGGCGUAAAGCGCGCGCAGGCGGUCUUUUAAGUCUGAUGUGAAAGCCCCCGGCUUAACCGGGGAGGGUCAUUGGAAACUGGAAGACUGGAGUGCAGAAGAGGAGAGUGGAAUUCCACGUGUAGCGGUGAAAUGCGUAGAUAUGUGGAGGAACACCAGUGGCGAAGGCGACUCUCUGGUCUGUAACUGACGCUGAGGCGCGAAAGCGUGGGGAGCAAACAGGAUUAGAUACC
rnacentral:rRNA from 1 species